UCCAGUAUGGUGUAACGGCUAACAUUACUGCCUUUCACGCAGUAGCUCGGGGUUCGAUUCCCCGUACUGGAA
rnacentral:tRNA from 1 species